rnacentral:rRNA from 1 species
UCAACCUGGGAACUGCAGUGGAUACUGGCCAGCUAGAGUGUGAUAGAGGAUGGUGGAAUUCCCGGUGUAGCGGUGAAAUGCGUAGAGAUCGGGAGGAACACCAGUGGCGAAGGCGGCCAUCUGGAUCAACACUGACGCUGAGGCACGAAAGCGUGGGGAGCAAACAGGACUAGAUACCCUGGUAGUCCACGCCCUAAACGAUGCGAACUGGACGUUGGGAGCAACUUGGCUCUCAGUGUCGAAGCUAACGCGCUAAGUUCGCCGCCUGGGGAGUACGGUCGCAAGACUGAAACUCAAAGGAAUUGACGGGGGCCCGCACAAGCGGUGGAGUAUGUGGUUUAAUUCGAUGCAACGCGAAGAACCUUACCUGGCCUUGACAUCCACGGAACUUACCAGAGAUGGUUUGGUGCCUUCGGGAACCGUGAGACAGGUGCUGCAUGGCUGUCGUCAGCUCGUGUCGUGAGAUGUUGGGUUAAGUCCCGCAACGAGCGCAACCCUUGUCCUUAGUUGCCAGCACGUAAUGGUGGGAACUCUAAGGAGACUGCCGGUGACAAACCGGAGGAAGGUGGGGAUGACGUCAAGUCAUCAUGGCCCUUACGGCCAGGGCUACACACGUACUACAAUGGUCGGUACAGAGGGUUGCAAAGCCGCGAGGUAGAGCCAAUCCCAGAAAACCGAUCCCAGUCCGGAUCGAAGUCUGCAACUCGACUUCGUGAAGUCGGAAUCGCUAGUAAUCGCGGAUCAGAAUGCCGCGGUGAAUACGUUCCCGGGCCUUGUACACACCGCCCGUCACACCAUGGGAGUUGGUUGCUCCAGAAGUAGGU